UGUGACUUGUUUUUGGAAACACAGAACACAGCUUCAGGGGACUGCGGGACAAUAAGGGGCGUUGUGCUCUUGCAGUAGUGAGAAGACAGUGAAGAGAUGACAGAAAACCUUCAGACCAUGAAGAGUACUUCAGCGACAAGACACAUCAUCUCUGCUCUUUUGAAACCAGCUCACAGAGGUGCUAAACGCCAACGUGUGGGACAACAACCCAUCCUCAUCUGACAUCUCGACUAGCCAUUUCUACAGUAUCCACCCCUAAAGACAUCUCAGUGCUAAGAUUUGCACUGGAUGGGAAAGAUUCCAUUUCAACCUGUGUGUUUCAGGCUGCUGGGCUUAAUAUGAGCUCCUUAUGAAGGCCUAUAAUUAAUAAGCCACUUGGUUUCCUCCAGUAGUUGUGAGGUUAUAUUAAAAAUGUAUAGACGGGGACAGGUCAUGC